rnacentral:rRNA from 1 species
UACAGAGGUCCCGAGCGUUGUUCGGAUUCACUGGGCGUAAAGGGUGCGUAGGUGGCGAGGCAAGUCUGGUGUGAAAUCCCGGGGCUCAACCCCGGAACUGCACUGGAUACUGCCUUGCUUGAGCACUGGAGAGGGAACUGGAAUUUACGGUGUAGCAGUGAAAUGCGUAGAUAUCGUAAGGAAGACCAGUGGCGAAGGCGAGUUCCUGGACAGUUGCUGACACUGAGGCAGCGAAAGGCUAGGGGAGCAAACGGGG